rnacentral:snoRNA from 1 species
AGCACUUGUAUGUGUUUUUGUUUAACUUGUAGGCAAAGACUUGUAGACAAGUGCAAAAAAAAAAAAAAAAAAAAAAAAUCCUCUUUUGCAACCCAGAAUUCAUUGUUCCAUAUGACUUUUGAUACAUAAGCAGAAAUAUA